AGCGAACGCUGGCGGUAGGCCUAACACAUGCAAGUCGAACGGAUGCACAGUAAGAGCUUGCUCUUACGGGUGGCGAGUGGCGGACGGGUGCGGUGUACAUCGGAGUUUACUUUUUCGUGGGGGCUCACGUAGGGAAGCUUACUUUAAUAUCGCAUCCGACCUCAGGUUGUCAGAGGGGGAUUUUCGGCCCUUGCGCGAUUGUCUGAGCUGAUGUAGGAUUAGUUAGUUGGAGGGGUAAAGGCCCACCAAGGCGAGGCUCCGUUGCUGAUCUUAAAGAAUGAUCAGACACACUAGAACUGAGACACGAUCCAGACACCUACGGAAGGCAGCAGUGGGGAAUAUUGGACAAUGGGCGCAAGCCUGAUCCAGCCAUACCGGGUGGGUGAAGAAGGCCUUCGGGUUGUAAAGCCCUUUUGUUGGGAAAGAAAAGCAGCAGGUUAAUACCCCGCUGUUCUGACGGUACCCAAAGAAUAAGCACCGGCUAACUUCGUG
rnacentral:rRNA from 1 species